GACGAACGCUGGCGGCGUGCCUAAUACAUGCGAGUCGAGCGAAGUUUUUCUGGUGCUUGCACUAGAAAAACUUAGCGGCGAACGGGUGAGUAACACGUAAAGAACCUGCCUCAUAGACUGGGACAACUAUUGGAAACGAUAGCUAAUACCGGAUAACAGUAUUUCUCGCAUGAGAGAUAUUUAAAAGUUGGUUAUGCUAACACUACGAGAUGGCUUUGCGGUGCAUUAGCUAGUUGGUGGGGUAAAGGCCCACCAAGGCGACGAUGCAUAGCCGACCUGAGAGGGUGAUCGGCCACACUGGGACUGAGACACGGCCCAGACUCCUACGGGAGGCAGCAGUAGGGAAUCUUCCGCAAUGGGCGAAAGCCUGACGGAGCAACGCCGCGUGAGUGAAGAAGGAUUUCGGUUCGUAAAGCUCUGUUGUUAGGGAAGAAUGGAUAUGUAGUAACUAUACAUGUAAGAGACGGUACCUAACCAGAAAGCCACGGCUAACUACGUG
rnacentral:rRNA from 1 species